rnacentral:rRNA from 1 species
GCAGGGGACCGCAAGGCCUUGCGCUCUUUGAGCGGCCGAUGUCAGAUUAGCUAGUUGGUGAGGUAAAGGCUUACCAAGGCGACGAUCUGUAGCGGGUCUGAGAGGAUGAUCCGCCACACUGGAACUGAGACACGGUCCAGACUCCUACGGGAGGCAGCAGUGGGGAAUUUUGGACAAUGGGGGCAACCCUGAUCCAGCCAUGCCGCGUGAGUGAAGAAGGCCUUCGGGUUGUAAAGCUCUUUCGGCCGGGAAGAAAUCGCAUGGGCCAAUACCCUGUGUGGAUGACGGUACCGGAAUAAGAAGCACCGGCUAACUACGUGCCAGCAGCCGCGGUAAUACGUAGGGUGCGAGCGUUAAUCGGAAUUACUGGGCGUAAAGCGUGCGCAGGCGGUUUUGUAAGACAGGCGUGAAAUCCCCGGGCUUAACCAGGGAACUGCGUUUGUGACUGCAAGGCUAGAGUACGGCAGAGGGGGGUGGAAUUCCACGUGUAGCAGUGAAAUGCGUAGAGAUGUGGAGGAACACCAAUGGCGAAGGCAGCCCCCUGGGUCGAUACUGACGCUCAUGCACGAAAGCGUGGGUAGCAAACAGGAUUAGAUACCCUGGUAGUCCACGCCCUAAACUAUGUCAACUAGGUGUUGGGUGGGUGAAACCAUUUAGUACCGUAGCUAACGCGUGAAGUUGACCGCCUGGGGAGUACGGCCGCAAGGUUAAAACUCAAAGGAAUUGACGGGGACCCGCACAAGCGGUGGAUGAUGUGGAUUAAUUCGAUGCAACGCGAAAAACCUUACUUACCCUUGACAUGCCAGGAACUUGCCAGAGAUGGCUUGGUGCCCGAAAGGGAGCCUGGACACAGGUGCUGCAUGGCUGUCGUCAGCUCGUGUCGUGAGAUGUUGGGUUAAGUCCCGCAACGAGCGCAACCCUUGUCGUUAAUUGCCAUCAUUUAGUUGGGCACUUUAACGAGACUGCCGGUGACAAACCGGAGGAAGGUGGGGAUGACGUCAAGUCCUCAUGGCCCUUAUGGGUAGGGCUUCACACGUCAUACAAUGGUCGGUACAAAGGGUUGCCAAGCCGCGAGGCGGAGCCAAUCCCAGAAAGCCGAUCGUAGUCCGGAUUGCAGGCUGCUACUCGCCUGCAUGAAGUCGGAAUCGCCAGUAAUCGUGGAUCAGCAUGUCACGGUGAAUACGUUCCCGGGUCUUGUACACACCGCCCGUCACACCAUGGGAGCGGGUUCCGCCAGAAGUAGGUAGCCUAACCGCAAGGGGGGCGCUUACCA